rnacentral:rRNA from 1 species
GGUCACACCCGUUCCCAUACCGAACACGGAAGUUAAGCUCUUCAGCGCCGAUGGUAGUCGGGGGUUUCCCCCUGUGAGAGUAGGACGCCGCCA